AUGCUCCACCUUCUGUAGAUGAGCCGAAUUAACUCCUUUUUUAAAGUAGAAGCCUCAGUACAUGAAAUAAAUAUCGAGACAGCUGAGACAAAGACUACUUCGCUAUACGAGAAUCCCAGGGGUUAUGAGCCAGGAAGAAGAGGCCCUCGAGAGACCUUCCCAGUUAGUCAAUUAAGGCUUCCCGCUAGGGAGGACACCCUACCUGUUGGCGCAAGGGAAUUUAUUUAGGUAGGCUUUGCCCUGGGACCAAAGAACAAAGGGAAGCUCAGCUCUCACUACCAGUGAAUGAUGAAAUGCCUCGACUUAGAAACCACAACCCUUCUGUCGAGAGGAAAAUCCUUUCAAGCAAGAUAGAAUCUUAG